rnacentral:lncRNA from 1 species
AUAACUUGUAGAAAGCCUGAUAAUGACACUGAAUUAUUUGAUCUUGUAAACAGACAAACUCAUAGACAUUCUCACACAUGCCGGAAAAACUCCAAAAAAGUUUGUAGAUUUAAUUAUCCUCAGCCACCCAUGAGAUCAACCCAAAUACUUCAUCCACUUGAUGACAAUGCUUCUGAAACUGUCAUAAGAGCCAGAAAAGAGUUGUGGAAAAAUAUUAAAAAUAAACUAAAUGAUUUAAAAGAGGGAGAAAACGUGACAUUUGAUCAACUUCUGAAAGAACUAGAUGUUUCAGAACAUCAAUAUAUUCUUGCAAUUCGAUCAUCACUAAAUUGUCCAAC